UACGGAAGGCAGCAGUGGGGAAUAUUGCACAAUGGGCGAAAGCCUGAUGCAGCUAUGCCGCGUGUAUGAAGAAGGCCUUAGGGUUGUAAAGUACUUUCAUCGGGGAGGAAAAAAACAAAACUAAUAAUUUUAUUUCUUGACGUUACCCGAAAAAGAAGCACCGGCUAACUCCGUGCCAGCAGCCGCGGUAAUACGGAGGGUGCUAGCGUUAAUCAGAAUUACUGGGCGUAAAGAGCACGUAGGUGGUUUUUUUAAGUCAGAUGUGAAAUCCCUGGGCUUAACCUGGAACUGCAUUUUGAAACUGAAAUACUAGAGUAUCGUAGAGGGAGGUAGAAUUCUAGGUGUAGCGGUGAAAUGCGUAGAUAUCUGGAGGAAUACCUGUGGCGAAAGCGGCCUCCUAAACGAAUACUGACACUGAGGUGCGAAAGCGUGGGGAGCAAACGAGGGAUUAGAUACC
rnacentral:rRNA from 1 species